AUGUUGAGUCCAUGGAUUAUACGCACUCUCACCCUUCCAUCAUUGCUAGCCUCUUAUCUUCCUCAAAACAGCCACCAUACCCACCUAUUAUGGCAUUUCCAUAGCCAUUCCGAGAUAUAUUGCCAUGCAACUUUCCACCGUUCCGUUUAUUAUGACACGCAUCAUCAUUGCCAUAUUGUCUUGCAUGAUCAUGUGGUUGACAUCGUAUUUGUGGCAAAGUCACCAUUCAUAAUUUUCUCAUACAUGUCACUCAUGAGUCAUUGCACAUCCCGGUACACCGCCGGAGGCAUUCAUAUAGAGUCAUAUCUUGUUCUAGUAUUGAGUUGUAAUCAUUGA
rnacentral:rRNA from 1 species